rnacentral:rRNA from 1 species
UACGUAGGGUGCGAGCGUUGUCCGGAAUUAUUGGGCGUAAAGGGCUCGUAGGCGGUUUGUCGCGUCGGGAGUGAAAACCAGGUGCUUAACACCUGGCUUGCUUUCGAUACGGGCAGACUAGAGGUAUUCAGGGGAGAACGGAAUUCCAGGUGUAGCGGUGAAAUGCGUAGAUAUCUGGAGGAACACCGGUGGCGAAGGCGGCAUCCUGGACCGAUAUUGACGCUGAUGCGCGAAAGCCAGGGGAGCAAACGGG